rnacentral:rRNA from 1 species
UACGUAGGGUGCAAGCGUUGUCCGGAAUUAUUGGGCGUAAAGAGCUUGUAGGCGGUUUGUCGCGUCUGCUGUGAAAUUUCGGGGCUCAACCCCGAACUUGCAGUGGGUACGGGCAGACUAGAGUGUGGUAGGGGAGACUGGAAUUCCUGGUGUAGCGGUGAAAUGCGCAGAUAUCAGGAGGAACACCGAUGGCGAGGGCGGGUCUCUGGGCAACAACUGACGCUGAGGAGCGAAAGCGUGGGGAGCGAACAGG